UGAACGCUAGCUACAGGCUUAACACAUGCAAGUCGAGGGGCAUCGAGAAGAAAGCUUGCUUCUUGUCGGCGACCGGCGCACGGGUGAGUAACGCGUAUCCAACCUACCCUUUACACUGGGAUAGCCCGUUGAAAAGCGGAUUAAUACCAGAUGCAGUCCUUUGCGGACAUCUAAGUAGGACGAAAGGUUUUUCCGGUAGAGGAGUGGGGAUGCGUCCGAUUAGCUUGUUGGCGGGGUAACGGCCCACCAAGGCGACGAUCGGUAGGGGUUCUGAGAGGAAGGUCCCCCACACUGGUACUGAGACACGGACCAGACUCCUACGGGAGGCAGCAGUGAGGAAUAUUGGUCAAUGGGCGUAAGCCUGAACCAGCCAAAGUAGCGUGCAGGAUGACGGCCCUAUGGGUUGUAAACUGCUUUUAUAGGGGAAUAAAGUUCGGGACGUGUCCCGUUUUGUAUGUACCCUAUGAAUAAGGACCGGCUAAUUCCGUGCCAGCCGCGGC
rnacentral:rRNA from 1 species